rnacentral:rRNA from 1 species
UACGGAGGGUGCGAGCGUUAAUCGGAAUUACUGGGCGUAAAGGGUGCGUAGGUGGUCAAUUAAGUUAGAUGUAAAAACCCUGGGCUUAACCUGGGGCUGAGAUUUAAUACUGGUUGACUGGAGUAUUGGAGAGGGUAGUGGAAUUUCCGGUGUAGCGGUGAAAUGCGUAGAGAUCGGAAGGAACACCAGUGGCGAAGGCGGCUACCUGGCCAGAUACUGACACUGAAGCACGAAAGCGUGGGGAGCAAACAGG